ACAUAACAAUGCAGCAUGUAAUCAUACACCCUUGAAUAUUCAUCUAACUAACAGGAUAUACAAAUCUCAAUACCUCAUUCACUAAGAUUAUGGCUAGUGUUGCGAGGGUUCAUCUAACUAACAGGAUAUACAAAUCUCAAUAGCUCAUUCACUACGAUUAUGGCUAGUGUUGCGAGGGUUGUGAGGUUUGUCCUAUCUGAUUCACUAAGAGUAUUGUGAGGUUUGUCCUAUCUUAUUCACUAAACACAAGGGUUGCGCUCGUUGCGGGACUUAAUCAAACACCUUACGGCACAAGCUGACGACAGCCAUGCACCACCUGUGUCUUACAAAUGUAUUGAACAAUACAUGAGUAAAAACUCACAAUAUUGCUGAUCGGAUUUAAAUUAUCAUAAUGAUCAAACUGAAUCUUUAUGAUAUUUAAAUGAUUAGAAAUAGUUUAACUAGUUGAGAGCCAAUUGUCCUCAUACAGAUACAAAAGAUAUUUGAGAACAGUAAACAUGCUUUCAAGAUGGUUUACACAUGCUUUAUAAAAUAGUGAAGCAAGGUCUGGGAUUUAGAAUACUAUAGUAGUGCACAGAACACAAUCAUAGCAAAAAUGGUAAAAGAACUGGACCAAACUAAAAUCAUCAUCUGAUAGCUCUCAGUUAAAUAUGUGAAAGAUACCAUUGCAAGUCUCAACCACUAAUACAAUUAUAAUGAUGCAAGGCCUCCCUUACCCAACAUUCCCAAUAUAA
rnacentral:lncRNA from 1 species